rnacentral:siRNA from 1 species
UGCUCUGUUGCUUGUUGCGGC